GCUUACGGCCACACCGCCUGGUUCUCCCCGAUCUCGUUUGAUCUCGGAAGCUAAGAUAGGUUGGGCCUGGUUAGUACUUGGAUGGGAGACCGCCUAGGAAUACCAGGUGCUGUAAGGC
rnacentral:rRNA from 1 species